GACGAACGCUGGCGGCGUGCUUAACACAUGCAAGUCGAACGGUAAGGCCCUUCGGGGUACACGAGUGGCGAACGGGUGAGUAACACGUGGGUGAUCUGCCCUGCACUUCGGGAUAAGCCUGGGAAACUGGGUCUAAUACCGGAUAGGACUCCUGGCUUCAUGGUUGGGGGUGGAAAGCUUUUGCGGUGUGGGAUGGGCCCGCGGCCUAUCAGCUUGUUGGUGGGGUAAUGUCCUACCAAGGCGACGACGGGUAGCCGGCCUGAGAGGGUGACCGGUAACACUGGGACUGAGAUACGGCCCAGACUCCUACGGGAGGCAGCAGUGGGGAAUAUUGCACAAUGGGCGCAAGCCUGAUGAAGCGACGCCGCGUGAGGGAUGACGGCCUUCGGGUUGUAAACCUCUUUCAGCUAUGACGAAGCGCAAGUGACGGUAGUAGCAGAAGAAGGACCGGCCAACUACGUGCCAGCAGCCGCCGUAA
rnacentral:rRNA from 1 species